CGGUGCCAUUCACGUUCGCCAUUCCAGCGGGGUGGAUGGCUCAGUUUGCCGUUGUCGGGCACUUCCGGGUCCGGUCCAUGGAGGUCCACCGCCCUAGGUGAUGACCAUGGCGGCGGAGCGCAGCUGCUCCCAGCGGGCAGCAGGCUAUGAGUGGUUAUUCUCGGAACAGAGAGCAGACCCGACCCAGAAGACCUGAGACUCCUGGAUGCUUCAUAGUGAUGGAGUAGGUCGUCUAUUGUAGUGGACAUUUUUAUUAUAUCCUUAUAUGUUUUAAACCAAAUGCUUCUCAUUUCCUGAGAUGUGCUGUUUUCUUCCUUUACUCUACUGUGGGUUUAUUCCCAAGCGCUUCAAGGCCACAGAGCUGAUUUGGCUGACUAUGUUGAGGCUACUCCUCUUCACACAAAGUCUCACAAGAACUUCCCUAUUCUGAUCUCAAGGACAGGUGUCUAAUAACAAUGAGACCGUGUGAAGACAGAUUUCUGCACUUCCCACUCUUUGCUGUAUAUAAGCUUUGCUUUCCUAUUAUAUCUGCGCACACUCCUGCAGACUAUCAUAUACUCUGUGGAACCUGUGUCUUUAUUUUUAUUGUAUCUAUGUAUUUGAAGCUUCAAAUAAAUAACCAGAAAGACAACUC